AUUGAACGCUGGCGGCAUGCCUUACACAUGCAAGUCGAACGGCAGCGGGGGAGAAGCUUGCUUUUCCUGCCGGCGAGUGGCGAACGGGUGAGUAAUACAUCGGAACGUGCCCUGUAGUGGGGGAUAACUAGUCGAAAGAUUAGCUAAUACCGCAUACGACCUGAGGGUGAAAGUGGGGGACCGCAAGGCCUCAUGCUAUAGGAGCGGCCGAUGUCUGAUUAGCUAGUUGGUGGGGUAAAGGCCUACCAAGGCGACGAUCAGUAGCUGGUCUGAGAGGACGAUAAGCCACACUGGGACGGAGACACGGCCCAGACUCCUACGGGAGGCAGCAGUGGGGAAUUUUGGACAAUGGGCGAAAGCCUGAUCCAGCAAUGCCGCGUGUGUGAAGAAGGCCUUCGGGUUGUAAAGCACUUUUGUCCGGAAAGAAAUGGCUCUGGUUAAUACCUGGGGUCGAUGACGGUACCGGAAGAAUAAGGACCGGCUAACUACGUGCCAGCCGCCGCAGUAA
rnacentral:rRNA from 1 species